AUACUUACCUGGCAGGGGUGUCUUAGCCAUAAUCACUAAGGUGGCUCUCCCUGGGCGAGGCUGGUUCAUUGCACUCCGAGCCUGGUGACCUCUGCGGUUUCCCCACAUGUGGGAAACUUGACUGCACAAUUUAUGGUAGUGGGGGACUGCGUAAGCGCUUUCCUCUG